UGGGGAAUAUUGGACAAUGGGCGAAAGCCUGAUCCAGCCAUGCCGCGUGUGUGAAGAAGGUCUUCGGAUUGUAAAGCACUUUAAGUUGGGAGGAAGGGCAGUAAGUUAAUACCUUGCUGCUUUGACGUUACCGACAGAAUAAGCACCGGCUAACUCUGUGCCAGCAGCCGCGGUAAUACAGAGGGUGCAAGCGUUAAUCGGAAUUACUGGGCGUAAAGCGCGCGUAGGUGGUUUGUUAAGUGUGAUGUGAAAGCCCCGGGCUCAACCUGGGAACUGCAUCCAAAACUGGCAAGCUAGAGUACGGUAGAGGGUGGUGGAAUUUCCUGUGUAGCGGUGAAAUGCGUAGAUAUAGGAAGGAACACCAGUGGCGAAGGCGACCACCUGGACUGAUACUGACACUGAGGUGCGAAAGCGUGGGGAGCAAACA
rnacentral:rRNA from 1 species